rnacentral:rRNA from 1 species
AGUGAACGCUGGCGGUAGGCCUAACACAUGCAAGUCGAACGGCAGCACAGUAAGAGCUUGCUCUUACGGGUGGCGAGUGGCGGACGGGUGAGGAAUACAUCUGAAUCUACUUUUUCGUGGGGGAUAACGUAGGGAAACUUACGCUAAUACCUCAUACUACCUACGGGUGAAAGCAGGUGAUCUUCGGACCUUUCGCGAUUCAAUUAGCCGAUGUCGGAUUAGCUAGUUGGCUGGGUAAAGGCCCACCAAGGCAACGAUCCGUAGCUGGUCUGAGAGGAUGAUCAGCCACACUGGAACUGAGACACGGUCCAGACUCCUACGGGAGGCAGCAGUGGGGAAUAUUGGACAAUGGGCGCAAGCCUGAUCCAGCAAUACCGCGUGGGUGAAGAAGGCCUUCGGGUUGUAAAGCCCUUUUGUUGGGAAAGAAAAGCAGCAGGUUAAUCCCCCGCUGUUCUGACGGUACCCAAAGAAUAAGCACCGGCUAACUUCGUG